rnacentral:rRNA from 1 species
CCUACGGGGGGCUGCAGUUGGGAAUAUUGGACAAUGGGAGCAAUCCUGAUCCAGCAAUCCCGCGUGAGUGAUGAAGGCCCUCGGGUCGUAAAGCUCUUUAAGCAGGGAAGAACACAAUGACGGUACCUGCAGAAUAAGCACCGGCUAACUCUGUGCCAGCAGCCGCGGUAAUACAGAGGGUGCAAGCGUUGUUCGGAAUCAUUGGGCGUAAAGCGCGUGUAGGCGGCCUUCUAAGUCUGGUGUGAAAGCCCGGGGCUCAACCCCGGAAGUGCACUGGAUACUGGGAGGCUAGAGGGCGAGAGAGGAUAAUGGAAUUAAUGGUGUAGGGGUGAAAUCCGUAGAUAUCAUUAGGAACAUCUGUGGCGAAGGCGAUUAUCUGGCUCGCAUCUGACGCUGAGACGCGAAAGCGUGGGGAGCAAACAGGAUUAGAUACCCCAGUAGUC